rnacentral:piRNA from 1 species
UUCCUGAGUGGUGUAUGGUGUCAGG